rnacentral:rRNA from 1 species
AUGUGAUGUGGAUGCGAGAAGCCUGGGAAAGAGGGAUGAGUGAGGUGUAAUACGGAAGAACUGGGUGUAAAGCGUCAGGAGGCGGUGUAAUAAGUUAGUAUUGAAAGAUCAUUGUACAACGAUGGAACUGGCAUUGAUACGGUUAGACUUGAAUUAUGAAGAAGUAACUAGAAUAUGUAGGGUAGCGGUGAAAUGCUUAGAUAUUACAUGGAAUACAAAUUGCAAAGGCAGGUUACUACUUGUGGAUUGACGCUAAUGGACGAAAGCGUGGGGAGCGAACAGGAUGAGAUACCCCAUAUUC